ensembl:lncRNA
AAAAAAAAAUGAAGCCUAAUAAUUAAAAUUUAAUAAAAAUUAAGAACUCCAGAAGUUUAGGGGUGAAAGAAUUUUCUUUUUUUAGUUAUUUUAGAAUUUGUUUGGGUUUUUAGAGAACAUCAUAUGCAGCUUCUCUUUGAAUCGACUCUUGGACAUGACCGGAAGUGUUAAUUGUUCAUAGAGCACGAGUUCGAUUCAAGACUCGUAAAAUCUGAUUUGUGAAUCAUUUCGAACAUUAAAAUAGUCUGAAAAAAGACUUGUAAAGGUCUUUAAUCGCCAAGAAAUCCUUUGAAUUUUAUUUAUAGUGCAAAAAAACAGCAUAUGCUGAUUAGGUAUGUUUUGACGCUGGGAUGCUGGUUUAUGCUGGUCUUUUGCUGGUUUAUUCUGGUCCUUUGCUGGUUUAUGCAGGUCUUUUGCUGGUUUAUUCUGGUCCUUUUGCUGGUUAAUGCUGGUCCUUUGCUGGUUUAUGCUGGUCCUUUGCUGGUUUAUGCUGGUCCUUUGCUGGUUUAUGCUGGUCCUUUGCUGGUUUAUGCUGGUCCUUUUGCUGGUUUAUUCUGGUCCUUUUGCUGGUUUAAUGCUGGUCCUUUGCUGGUUUAUGCUGGUCCUUUGCUGGUUUAUGCAGGUCCUUUGCUGGUUUAUGCUGGUCCUUUGCUGGUUUAUGCUGGUCCUUUGCUGGCAAAGGACCAGCAUAAACCAGUAUCCCAGCAUCAAAACAAACCUAACCAGCAUAUGUUGGUUUUUUCAGCAGGGUGUAACGUUACAAAUACUGUAACGUUAAUAAACACGAAACAUUGCACUGAGUCACAGACCCUCACCUUUUUUAGAUAUCUCAACUCAGAAAGCACAAACCCAGUCAAGUUCAUUAAAAUCCCAGCUGUUUGAACAGAAAUGACACAGAACGGAACUGUCUGAGCAGCCAUCCACCACCAGGUGUUCAUUUCCACGGGCAGCACAGUUGAAUCAUCGUCACUGUAGAAACAAACACUAAAAAAAAAACUGUGUACCUCCUGUGCACUAUAUAUUCAGCUGCAUGGAAAACUUUAAUCAGGGAAAUGCCCUAAAUUUUUGUCCAAAUUUCAAUUGUUUUAAAGGAAAUAAAUGUAUUUUGUCUGUGUUGUCUUUUUUAGAUAACUUUGUUUGUUGAACCUGGGGGUAAAAUUGGUUUGUUUUGCAAAGGUUUUCAGGACAAUGACCUACUAAAUGAACAAAGGAGUGAUUUUAGUGACUAAUGCUGUUUGUAAAAAUAUAAAGAAAGCAGGACGUGUGCCUCCUGGGAUAAAUAACCAACUAUGCCGAGUGAAUGAAGGAAAAAAAUAAAAACAACACACACAAUAUAUAAGUGUGCUUUUUCACAAGGGACCCAAAACUUCAUUGCAUUAAAACAAAAUAAAAAAAAUUAGAUUAUUUGAUUUGAAUACAUCACAAAACCUGUUAUGUUGUCUAUCACGGAUGAGGUUUUAAAAUCAAUAUUAUUAUGAUUAUGAAAUGAAUCUGAAAUGGAGUUGUGAGCGGUCAUAUGACCCAGAGGAAAACAAUGCCAGCUGGGUGAACUAAUCAGCUUAAGUGCUGUAAAACUGGUUUGAAUGUAUCUCUAAAAGUAAAGUUUUUAAAAUGCAGCUCUGUAUUUACCCUUUUAAAACUUUCCUGCAAUAACACUGUCAAAUCCAAUUCGCAAUAUAUUAUAGUUUUGAGACGGCCCAAGGUGGAGGAAUAUAAAUCCAGGUUGCUUUUCGCAAGAGAAACCGUGUCUUAUUUUAUUUUUUAUUUUCUUUACAUUUGAUUCAGAUCUAUAGUGUGACUGAAAAGUCAUCUGUGUAUUUCUUUAAGGCAUUAAAAAUCAUAAAAUGCAAUAAAAUCAUAAAUCCCUUCAUGUCAGCAGUCAUUCAUCACAACAUAUACUGAUGUCAAGAGAAUAGUUAAAUUACAGCUGCUAAUGUGCACAACAGCUAAGAGCCC